GACGAACGCUGGCGGCGUGCUUAACACAUGCAAGUCGAACGGAAAGUCCCUGCUUUUGUGGGGUGCUCGAGUGGCGAACGGGUGAGUAACACGUGAGUAACCUGCCCUUGACUUUGGGAUAACUUCAGGAAACUGGGGCUAAUACCGGAUAGGAGCUCCUGCUGCAUGGUGGGGGUUGGAAAGUUUCGGCGGUUGGGGAUUGACUCGCGGCUUAUCAGCUUGUUGGUGGGGUAGUGGCUUACCAAGGCUUUGACGGGUAGCCGGCCUGAGAGGGUGACCGGACACAUUGGGACUGAGAUACGGCCCAGACUACUACGGGAGGCAGCAGUGGGGAAUAUUGCACAAUGGGCGGAAGCCUGAUGCAGCAACGCCGCGUGCGGGAUGACGGCCUUCGGGUUGUAAACCGCUUUCGCCUGUGACGAAGCGUGAGUGACGGUAAUGGGUAAAGAAGCACCGGCUAACUACGUG
rnacentral:rRNA from 1 species